AUUGUUGCCUUGCAUUGACCCUACGCUUUUUUUUGGAAGUGGUAUUCAUAGCAAGAAGGAGGUGCUACCACGUGUGAGUGUGGGAGAUCUUUCCUAACGCCAGCUGGGGAAGAGAUUAAAAAAAGAAGGAUGACCAGACCUGCGAAAAUUUCACUUUUGGCGUUAUUUCUCUUAACGCUUGACAUAUUAUUGCCGAUGGAUGGCUGACAUUCAACCUCAAGAUGUUCAAAGAGGCGGAAUUUACACGGGAUCAAAAUCCUCUGAACAGCAUGGUAGCACAUUCACAUCGAAAAUCACAUUCACUCUUCUUAAUGGUGCAAACUAUUUAAGAAAUACGGUAGCGAAACAAAUAAAAUUCAAAAUUUUAAAAAAAUUCCGAUUUAAUAAACGCGGAAAGAAUUUUUUUUACCGUUAACAUGGAAAUCGAAAUUUUAUUUUAGGAAAUAUGUUUCCACCGCGAGAAGUGAAAACAUAUUUCCGGUUUUUUUUUUGCCCGUUAGGACACGCUCGCUCCCAUCUCUCGCGUCGCCUCUUCCCUCCUGCUGCUGCCUCCCCUGGUCGUCUCUUUUGCAGCUCGUCGUCUCUGUCAAUCCCUCGCUUCCAACUCACACAGAGGAUUUUCCCAUUGAAGCUGGAAACAGACGCCUUUUCCAACUCCUGCACAAGAAGCUGUGUCUCCCUCUACCAUCCGUCACUUUCAGACACAAUUGCAGCCUCUUGCAGAGCUAAACAAGCGGCUACAGGCACCAGUCUUUGGAGACACUUUGUAGAUUUGACCUCCGCGACCUUCCAUCCUCAUGAGGCAUACAUCGACAGUCUGGUGCUAAUUGCUGCUGCUAUUUGAGACAAAUGUCGCUGGAGGGGAUGUUGGUCUAGCUUUUCUAAGAACGUCCUUAUAUAUCAGAUGGGUAAAGCUUCACACCAACUCUCUUGAAAAGGGAAAUUGGACGUCAAUUCUCUUGGGGCCUUCGGCAAAUCUUUUAUGUGCAAUCAAAUGGAGCCAGGUUGCUGCUGCUAUAUACUGCUUGUUUGGAUGAAGGGGAAGUGACUCAAAUUCUCUCAUCAAAUCAAAGAAGGGGAAAUAAGGGGAACGAAGAGGAAAGAAAUGGUAUUAUUAUAAAUGAAGUUAAGUAAUGUGUAUCUUAUUUCUCUUCCUUCAUGUCAGUCACAUGAUUCUACUACAUGCUGCUUGUUUGGUUGGACUAUGCUGAUCAUGGAGUUGAAAAUGUAUUCUAGAGCCUCAUUUGUUUCUUACAUGUGAAGUGGCCGUCUUGUGAAUAAGGAAAGUGCUGCUUUCAUUUGUUUUUAA